GUUCCCCCUCCCCCUCCCCCGGCUCAUUUUUGUCCCAAACUCAAACAAAGCCCUACUUUGUUCUCUCGCCGAAAUAGAUCAUUGGCUCACUGUGGAAAAUCAAAGGAGCUCGCUGGAACACGGUGGAAAUUGAAGGAGCUUGCCAGACAUCUGCAUCUCUCGGAGAAAGAAACACGAUCGAUGAAAACAGAAUAUAUUGGAUAAAGGUGUCUGGGCACUCUUCAUUGUAUCUUCCUCUUCCCAAAUCUUAUCGAUUAUCCCUCGAACACAAAACCUUAGCAGCCUCAUGUCUCUGACUUUGGUCUAGCAAAGAUUUUGGUUGAUGAGGAUGCCCAUGUCACAACUGUUGUUGCUGGCACUUUUGGAUAUUUGGGACCAGUUAGCAGAAGAGGAAGAAAUAAGAAGGUUAAGAAAGGAGCUGGUCCUUAUUUUGACAGGCCCUUCAUUCCCAGAAGAUCAAUGAAAAAUCCAACUAUUCCUAAAGAACCAAAGUUCCAUACACCUCAACAGAAGAUCAAAUGUAGCCUGUUGUGGAAUGACAUGAGCUCCUACACGUACAACACUGAAGUUUGAAGACAGAAAAAAAAAAAAUGUAUUAGCAUUCAUUUGUUAUCCCCUUAUCCCCUUCAUUGAAUUAGCACCCCCUUCCUCCCUCAGUUUGUAGUCCAACUUAAUUAAAUAUGAAGAAGCUCUUAAUUGGAUAAACAUAAUGUUUGUGGGUGAAAAAAAAAAUUACAAUUCUAUAAGUAUAUAAUAUUUAUAAUUCUAGUUA